GAUGAGAACGUAGCGAAAUGCGAUAAGUAGUGUGAAUUGCAGAAUUCAGUGAAUCAUCGAAUCUUUGAACGCACAUUGCGCCCUUUGGUAUUCCUUAGGGCAUGCCUGUUCGAGCGUCAUUUACAAAUUCAAGCUCAGCUUGGUGAUGGGUGUCUGUCCCGCCUUUGCGUGUGGACUCGCCUCAAAUGCAGUUGGCAGCUUGUUCCUCGGCUCUAAACGCAGCAGAUUUGCGUCGAGCGUCGUGCGGACGGGCUCUCCAGUAAGCAAACCCCCACAAAUUGACCUCGGAUCAGGUAGGGAUACCCGCUGAACUUAAGCAUAUCAAUAAGCGGAGGA
rnacentral:misc_RNA from 1 species